ensembl:lncRNA
GUAAUACUGGAUUACAUUUACAUCUCUAGAUGUAGGUCAUAAAAAUGACAAAAACAUGGCCUUAAGGACAUAACUGAAAUUAAUGUACAACCUAGAGCUUUUACGCUUUCACAGCUGAACGGAUCGUUUAAUCGGUUACCCGGAUCUUCAGUGAUAGCCGGUGAGAAUCGUGAGAGCCGUAACUAUAGAAACAGAUUUGAGUCGUCACUACCAGCAUCAGACAGCAGAGAGCGCCAGUUCUCUCUAUUUCACACCUCAGCCGACCAAAGGGGUCCACUAGAGGGUCUCAGUUAACCUCCUCGGAUGCCAACAGCCUUUGAAGCGCAGGACGUCCCGAGGCCGGUAUCUCCACAGUCUAAACAAGCGUUCACCUGGGAACUCGUUGCCUGAAAACAGUGCUCAGGUCUGUAGGACAUUAGAGAAACCAAUAUUUUGCUCCAGGACUGACAGUCUCCACCUCAGUGCCGUUUCUGUAAGAUUAUAC